rnacentral:rRNA from 1 species
GAUGAACGCUAGCGGGAGGCCUAACACAUGCAAGCCGAGCGGUAGAGUUUCUUCGGAAACUUGAGAGCGGCGCACGGGUGCGUAACACGUGUGCAACCUACCUUUAUCUGGGGGAUAGCCUUUCGAAAGGAAGAUUAAUACCCCAUAAUAUAAUGAUUGGCAUCCAUUAUUAUUGAAAACUCCGGUGGAUAGAGAUGGGCACGCGCGAGAUUAGAUAGUUGGUGAGGUAACGGCUCACCAAGUCAAUGAUCUUUAGGGGUCCUGAGAGGGAGAUCCCCCAGACGGGUACUGGGACACGGACCAGACUCCUACGGGAGGCAGCAGUGAGGAAUAUUGGACAAUGGGUGAGAGCCUGAUCCAGCCAUCCCGCGUGAAGGAUGACGGUCCUAUGGAUGGUAAACUUCUUUUGUACAGGGAUAAACCUACCCUCGUGAGGGUAGCUGAAGGUACUGUACGAAUAAGCACCGGCUAACUCCGUG